rnacentral:lncRNA from 1 species
GAACUUGAGACUUUUUCCAGUAUCUUUAUCCAGCAGCAGGACCUUCACUACUUUCCCCUUUCCCAAGUAAAGCUAGUGUUAAGAGACUGGAUUGUAGAAGUGUUGACUGACUUGACUGGAAAUAUAAUAUGGAAAGACUGAUGGACUGACUGAAGUGGCUAUUGACUUAAGUGGCUAUUUCCUGAUUCCGAUAUGGCGUCCUGAAUCCGAUAUUGCUUGAUUGUCUGUUGAUGCCCAGCUGAAGAAGUGACUUGCUUAACGCAGCAAUUUCUGUUUUCUUGUGUGAAUGCUCUCCACCUCCGCUUGACACUCUCGUAGUAGAUCAUAAGAGAAGUAUUCUUUCAAUAAAUUCGUAUAGAAAGAUGGACUAGCUCGAGAACAAG